rnacentral:rRNA from 1 species
UACAGAGGUCUCAAGCGUUGUUCGGAUUCAUUGGGCGUAAAGGGUGCGUAGGCGGCGCGGUAAGUCGGGUGUGAAAUCUCGGGGCUUAACUCCGAAACUGCAUUCGAUACUGCCGUGCUUGAGGACUGGAGAGGAGACUGGAAUUUACGGUGUAGCAGUGAAAUGCGUAGAUAUCGAGAGGAACACCGGUGGCGAAGGCGGCGAUCUGGACGGUGACUGACGCUGAGACGCGAAAGCGUGGGGAGCAAACAGG